GGCAAGAUGGCCGAGCGGUCCAAGGCGUGUGACUCAAGCGAAAGUUUGCCUGUUGAAAGCAGGUUUCUCAUCCGAGUAUUCGGGCGUGGGUUCGAAUCCCACUCUUGUCA
rnacentral:tRNA from 1 species